CUUUUUUGCUUUAGAAAAUUGCCUCAUCUCAACCUACUAGUUCUUUUCCAUCUUAUUUUUCUUUCCCUUGUCCUGCUGGGAAGGGGAGUGAUAGCAGAGUUUGGUGGGCACAUGGUGCCCAACCAAGAUCAGAUUACUACAGGGACAAAACAUGCACCCCCUAGGUGUUACUCGAGCUGUAGCCAACAUGCUCACCAGACCCCCACCUGCUGCAUCCCACUGGGAGCUGCCCAGUGCCUGCCUUCCCUCCCAUCACACCCCCAGUGCACCUUGCUUUCUCCUCUGCCUUGUGCCACUCGUGGACCAAACACCUUUUUCUCACCCUGCUAAGGAGUUGAAAUUCAGACAUCAUUACACUGAAGAAAUAGUAUGAUUGCAUCUGAGAAAGAUGCAGGACAUUUUAACUUGAAAGAUACAUUGAAGUUUUAGUUGGUUGUUACAUACCUCUUGUGGUACAGCACAUUUUUUAUAGAAUUUGGAGAUAAUGCUAUUUUUUUUAACCUUGCCAGUAAUUUAUAUACUGCACUUAUGUCAUCAUUACAAUGUUAGUGUGUCCCAAGAGACUGUAGGAUUUUUUUCUGUUGUGAAUACUUUUUUCUGUGUAGACACUUCCAGUUCUUUUCCAUAUUGAAAAUUUACAGGGAUAACCUAUCAGAAUCCUUAACUGGAACCUGUCUGUGUUGUUCUAUAAGUGCUACUACAUCACGAGUUCUCAGCAAAUCCAGCUGGCAGGAGCACCACAGUCUCCAGUGACCUUCUCCUUCAGUGAGGCUCUGGCAGGGAGAUCAACAAUUCAAGCAUUUGGCUCCCAGGAGAGAUUCAUUAGGAAAGAUAACUGUUUUGUUGUGUAUGAGAUGUGUAUGAUGCUGUGUAUGAGAACUUGAUUUGGUUCUACAACAAUCUCAUCUCAAAUAGGUGGCUAUCUGUCAGGCUUGAGUUUUUGGGAAAUUUAAUGGUGUUCUUUGCUGAAUUGUUUGUAGCACUGUAUGGAAAUACAGUGAGUUCUUCUACAGUGGGUUUAUCAAUAUCCUAUACUCUAAAUGUGAUCCAGAUUCUAGAUGUUUAAGUGUAUAGAGCAUGUGAAAUUGAGACCAAUGCACUUUCAAUUGAAGGAAUUUGUGAAUAUGCAACAGUUGAUAAAGAGGACCCCAUCUUGUUUUCUGGGACACUGCAGUCAAAUCUGGAUCCACUUGGAAAACACUCAUCUUGAACUGUAGGAAGUGUUGGAGCUACGUGACUUAAAGGAUUUUGUCCAGUCACUGAAGAAGCUCCUCCAUGAGAUUUCAGAAGGUGUUGAAAAUAUUAGUGUUGGGCAGAGACAGCAGGUCUGUCUGGCCUGUGCUUUGCUGUGAAAGACAAAAAUCCAGGUCCUAGAUGAGCUUCUGUUGACAUAGAAACAGAUAAAUUUGUGCACUCCACCAUCAAAACAGAGUUUCACAACUGCACAGUGUUAACUAUAGCCCACAGGUUACACAGAGUCAUGGAUUCAGAAAGAGUUCUUGUUCUGGAUGCAGGAAGGAUUCUAGAAUAUGAUACACCACAGAAUUUGUUACUACAAGAAAGUGCCUUUUCUGAAAUGGCUGCAGAGGCUGGGAUAAGAUAAUGAAAACUACUGAGUGAAUUCUGAAGGAAUGCUCAAGGAAUCUCUGCAUUAUAUAUAUAUAUAUAUAUAAUAUAUGCAUAUAUAGGUGCAAUAUUUUAUACUCCAUAUAAAACAACUGACUUACUCUAGAGCUCCUCACAGCAUUGCUCUUCACUACUGCUACAAUCUGUAUACAUUGAUCAGGUUUCAUAAAAUUCAGAUUUUAUAUGAAUCACUUUUAUCAUAUUGGCAUUGGCACAAGGGAAUGAAGCAAGGAUUUUCAUGGUGUAUGUUAAAACUGUUGCAUUAGUAAAGACUGAUUGAAAAAUAAAUCUUGUUGACAUGCUGGUUUUAAUUGAACUAAGUUGCUCUGACAUUAUGCUCAUUUAGUUAAUAAUUCUUACUAUGAUUACACAUUCAGGAAAAAAACAAUGCUUGUUGUGUGGACACAGAGACAGAUGUCACUUGGGGCUGAUUUUUAGGAUAUGCACAUCCCUGUGUAUACUUAGGUAGUUCUUGAGGCAAUAAAUGUGCCCCAUUACGUCAGUUUUCCUCUUGUGAUUUCUGAAAAACUGAAACCCACCUCAUAUAUUUAACUGAUCAUUACAAAAUCCCAUUGUGAAAGAAUCCCAAAAAAUGCAGUCAGGUGGAACUGCCUCUUUGCUAGUAAAUAUUAAUGUAAACCUCCAUACUAAUUACAGCAGCAGGACAGGUUAUGUACACUUACUUGAAGUGUCAGUUAAACAUAUCUGCUUCUGUAGGCCACAUAAAUAGUCAUUUCCAUUUUUAUUGCCAUUCCAGAAGCUCUUGAAAUUUCAUACCAGCACAACCAAUGUAAUCAAUUUUCUCUUAAGAUCCCUAUCAACUGCUUAAAAAAUUCCAACAAACUGAAUAAAGUUCCUGGGUACAGCCCUGUUUUAUUAGUUUAAAAUUGACACCUGGUGUAUCAAGUACAAUCUUAAUUUCUUGCCCAAGAGAAAGUUUUAGGCACACAGGCUAGGAGAGGUAGCCUUUAGUACCUCAGGAACCUUUCCCUUUUGCAAGGUCCAGAGAAAACAGUCUGAGGCGAGGCAUCAGUGUGUGGUAAUUUCUACUUUACUUUUAUUUGAGGAGGGCUUUCUGUGCUUACUUCCAGCUGCCUUCAGACUGCAGCUGGGAGAGCCACAGACUGAACAAUGGCAAAGCCUGAGAGAAAAGAAAAUGCUGGACUAGUGUCAGCAAAGCCAUUCCUUCUCUUUCAGGAGAAAUAACUUCAGAAAAGGGGGUGCAGUGGAGGCAGAAGCAGCAGGAAAUGCUCCUGCUGUGUUUCCAUGCAAUAGCAUUCCAAAGCAAAUCCCCUAACAGGCUUAGGGUGGGCAGGGAAAGGCACUUUUGCUUUAAGCACAUCAGCCAGGGUCUGCAGCCUCUCCUCUCCUCACACACGUCAUGCUGGAGACUCACUCUAGGAAAUGAAGAAGGGCCACUUGGCUGAGUUCAGAACUGACUCAACCCACCAAACAUCAGGGCACCAGCCAGCACAAAGCAAGCCAUGUGGUACCUCUGCAGCUUGGCACACACCUCACUCCCCUCACCUUCUUCCUCCAAAAUUCCCUGAACUUCCUUGGUAUUUAGGGAUUGGGUUCCAGUCCUGUCCUAUGGGACCACUCACAGGAAGAGGGGGACAGGUAGGGGACCAGAGCAGACCUGAAAAAUGAGGCUCAUAAGGGACCAAGACUCCAUCAUUUUUUUUCACAUGAAGGAACAUGGACCUGCUUAUGCUCUGCUUCCACUUCAUUGCCCACAGCACUCAAAAAUCCCACAUGCACCACCUUCUGGAGCUGCUCCCCUCAGCCCUGCUUGUCCUCCUUGCUCUGGCAGUAUCACAGGAGAAACUGGAAAGAAGUUGAGCAGCAGCUUCCCAUUUUAAGGAAGAGACACACUUCUGCUUUUUGCCAGCUUUGAAACACUUAUGAAACGCUGUAAUUGUUCAGGCUCUGCAGACUUUGCAGCUCCUCAAGACAACACAGAAGUAGAAACUCUCUCACAGCUGAACACAACCUCAUCUUCUACAUUUCAAAGGAAUCUGAGGAAGCCAGAACUUACUUGAGAAAGUGAAAGAAGACAGAUCCAAGGGGUAGAAAUUUCUUUUAUUAAAAAAAUCUAAAAUGUUAUUUAUAAAAUGCAUUUCAUCAUCUGCACUGGGAAACAAUUAGGGAACACACAAUUGUUGAAGUCACUUGAUGCUUUCAGAAUUUCAACUUGCCAAAUAAACCUUAGCUAGAGAAAUUUGUUACACACCUACCACUAAAGGCAAUCAUAAGGAUUACAGAAAGAUUUCAGCCUUCCAAUAUCAACUUUUUUACAGAGAGCCUUUUGGUAAGCAGCCCAUGUGCAUACCUGGAAAUACCCACUUAGUGCAGUGGACUCAUCUUAAUUGUUUGUGCCAAAAUACAGUAUUAAAAGACACAAAAUAAAUAAUUCAGAAAAUUUAAUAAAUAAGGAUGCAUUGUGAUAUCCAGUGUACAGUAACUUCUCUACUAAAAAAUCCAGCCUGUAUAGAAAUCUGAAUAAAUACCCUUUUGUGAAUUUAUUUUUUACAAGUAAACAACCUGCACUUCCAGUUCCCAGAUUAACACUGAAGGAGAUUUAACUCCCCCAGGCUAAAGGAGGAUGUGAAAGAAAAAAGUACUUAAUUUAUUUGCUUUGAGACAUCUCCUACCUAACUUGUUCCAAAACUGCAAAAGCUUUUAAUCAUUUAACUUCACUGUGAUGUGGUUGUUUCUAUAUCGGUCUGCUUGUUUUACACAGCACAUUAAAGGCAUGAAGACCAAAGCCCUACCGUAACUCCAGUGGAUUUUGGGAUGAACUCACAGCAGGGCAGAAGGAAAGGCCACAGUGACUCUAAAGACACUGGUACAGAUGUUGAACACAUACAUUUAUAUUGCAAAGCAAAUGCCCCCAACAGCAACUGAGGACUCUACUGCAUAGUGGCAUUCAUCCAUGGUGUCACUGAAGAGGCACUUCUCUCACUGCAAGACUUUUACUUACUGCAAGUUCCAUACAGACUUAGUUGGGGUCACUUUCAAAGAGGCACAAAGGAAAAGAAGAAUCCUCAAAUAAAAAAAUAACUUUGGUUUUCAACUCAGGAAAAUUCAACAGAUGUCAGCAGUACUUUGGGAAUCCUC